rnacentral:lncRNA from 1 species
GUGGCAUUCAACUUCUCUCUGUGCUCUUCAAGACAAAACUCCAAAUCUCGAAUCUUCUCUCCCUGAGCCUCCACCUGGUCUGUUAACACACUUACCUGUCCAAAACAAAAACAAAAACAAAACCCAGGGAAUUCAAAUUCCAUGAGCUCUUUGAAGAUGACACAGAUCACAGAUGCGUUCAAAGUCAGGGGGCAACUCAAUAUACCCAAAGGUGCAUGAGGAGCCGUUGGGCUAGUCCUUCAACUCUAGUGCUUAUAAUCCCUCAUAGAAUUACAGAAUCUUAGAGCUAGCCAGGAACCUCACCCGGAAAACGAAUUCCAUGACUCUACAUGGCAGGUGCUACACAUAACAUUAGAACACCAUCUACUUUUCCCUUCACCAUCUAAGUGGAAAGCCUUCUAUUUAUUUAUUUAUUUAUUUAUUUAUUUAUUUAUUUUUGCAGUUGCAAGAUUUAAUAUAGUGAAAACAGAG